UUGUACGGGUCAACGGAAAUACCAAAAUAAAAGCUUCAAGAAAACCUCCCGCGCUAAAGUGUGCCGGUCGCGGUCAGGUUCUGUGUUUGCGCUCCUCUUACGGUCACUUUUGACUGCCAUGAGCUGCUUCGACUAUUCCCUACCAGCAUGUCCAGCGAUUUAGCUGAAAACAUUGGAAGAGCCGUUUUGUCGGCCAUCCAACGAUUCAGCGGUAAUGCACCCUCGACCUCACAAACGCCGCAGCACUUGGAAUCCAGCAAUGCACCUGGACCAAGUAGACCUGCCGUCUCCACUGGGAUACCAUACUGCUCGGUUCCUCUUCCAUCAGUUCCUCAAGCUCAUGCUACGCGCUCACAUUUUGUGAGAAAAAACAAGACCUGCA